GAUGAACGCUGGCGGCGUGCCUAAUACAUGCAAGUCGAGCGAACAGACGAGGAGCUUGCUCCUCUGACGGUAGCGGCGGACGGGUGAGUAACACGUGGAUAACCUACCUAUAAGACUGGGAUAACUUCGGGAAACCGGAGCUAAUACCGGAUAAUAUAUUGAACCGCAUGGUUCAAUAGUGAAAGACGGUUUUGCUGUCACUUAUAGAUGGAUCCGCGCCGCAUUAGCUAGUUGGUAAGGUAACGGCUUACCAAGGCAACGAUGCGUAGCCGACCUGAGAGGGUGAUCGGCCACACUGGAACUGAGACACGGUCCAGACUCCUACGGGAGGCAGCAGUAGGGAAUCUUCCGCAAUGGGCGAAAGCCUGACGGAGCAACGCCGCGUGAGUGAUGAAGGUCUUCGGAUCGUAAAACUCUGUUAUUAGGGAAGAACAAAUGUGUAAGUAACUAUGCACGUCUUGACGGUACCUAAUCAGAAAGCCACGGCUAACUACGUG
rnacentral:rRNA from 1 species